CGAAGGAUACACUCCUGAAUUCUUGAAGAUAGAGCUACCCUGGACAGCCGAUGAAGACACUUUGAACAAAGAAUACCCCAUGAAGCUUUCUAUGUUAGAGUGCAGAGUGGCAUUUUCACAAAGAUGUUCUAAUACUGUACAGGGAGCCUUUUUGCCAGGUUUCGAAAGCUUUAAAAAUCUUUAUAAUAAAUUAUGUGACAAAUCAAGUGAAUUUAGAGCAGAAUAUCUAGAACAUGUUGCUUGCCUGAAUGAACAGAUUGAGAAGAGGAAUCCUGUGUGUAUGAAUUUCUUGAAUCCCC